rnacentral:rRNA from 1 species
ACGGAGGAAAGAACCACCAGGGAUUGCCCCAGUAACGGCGAGUGAAGCGGCAACAGCUCAGAUUUGAAAUCUGGCCCUCUUCUGGGUCCGAGUUGUAAUCUGUAGAGGAUGCUUUUGGCGACGCGCCUUCCGAGUCCCCUGGAACGGGGCGCCAGAGAGGGUGAGAGCCCCGUAUGGUCGGACGCCGAACCUUUGUAAAGCUCCUUCGACGAGUCGAGUAGUUUGGGAAUGCUGCUCAAAAUGGGAGGUAAAUUUCUUCUAAAGCUAAAUACCGGCCAGAGACCGAUAGCGCACAAGUAGAGUGAUCGAAAGAUGAAAAGCACUUUGAAAAGAGGGUUAAAUAGCACGUGAAAUUGCUGAAAGGGAAGCGCUUGUGACCAGACUUGCGCCCGGUUGAUCAUCCAGCGUUCUCGCUGGUGCACUCUGCCGGGCUCAGGCCAGCAUCGGCUCUCCCAGGGGGAUAAAGGUCGCGGGAACGUAGCUCUCUCCGGGGAGUGUUAUAGCCCGCGGCGGAAUACCCUUAGGGGGGGUCGAGGCCCGCGUUCGCAAGGAUGCUGGCGUAAUGGUCACCAGCGACCCGUCUUGAAACACGGACCAAGGAGUCAAGCAUUAGGGCGAGUCUUUUGGGUGUAAAACCCCGCAGGGCGCAAUGAAAGGUGAACGGAGGUGAGAGCUUCGGCGCAUCAUCGACCGAUCCUGAUGUUCUCGGAUGGAUUUGAGUAAGAGCCUUACCGCUUGGACCCGAAAGAUGGUGAACUAUGCCUGAAUAGGGUGAAGCCAGAGGAAACUCUGGUGGAGGCUCGCAGCGGUUCUGACGUGCAAAUCGAUCGUCAAAUUUGGGCAUGGGGGCGAAAGACUAAUCGAACCAUC